rnacentral:lncRNA from 14 species
AGUCUAGAGGCACCAGAGGUGAGAGUCAUGAUGGAGGGAUUAUCCAGACCAGGUGGCGCUGUUCUGAAGACUCGUAACCCCUUUAGAAGGUGAAGCCUGAGAGGCAGAUAUAGUUUGCUAGGGGCGAACCUUUGAAGGUUACACCCGCUCCUGGUUCCAGAGAGUUCCAUCUUUCCUGGUUCACUGUGAUAUGAACAGCAGCUCCAUGUCACACACUGCCACCAGGCCUGCUUGACAAUGAUGAACUGAAAUCCCUCUGAAGCCCUGAGCUAAAAUAAAAGCCCCUUUAAAGUUGUU